UCGCCAAGUAGCUCUGAGUUAGGUAGCUAGCUAUAGCAUUAUACGAUUCCGCAGGUUAAACACACAUAUAUUUCCAUGCCUUUGCUCUAAGCCGCGUCAAUUCCAUUCCAUCAACACAAGAAGUGUCACUGAAGGAGUAAAGGCUGCAGGUACUCUAGCAAAACUGAAUCUCUAGCAGUAAGUCCUAACAACAAUUUCGUGGCAGCUGCUUGCAUGUCCCUCCUAUUUGGUAUUCCAUCCAUUUUAAAAUAUACUCCCUCCAUUCCAUUGCAAAUUGUAGGUCGUUUUAGGUUUUUAGUUCAUAAAUAUUAUUAUACAUCUAGAAAAGUCAAAACAACCUACAAUUUGGAAACGGAGGGAGCAGGACAUUGUAGUUUUGUUCUAAGUCAUACUUGUCCAACUUUAAUUGAUAGAUGUUGUAUGUUUAGCAACCUAAAUUAUGAUUUCAGAGAUUUGUUGCAAUCAUAUUGGGUUAUGUUUUUUUUGGCUAAGGAAGCAUUGGUGAACACCAGGCCCGAGCCCAUGGGAGUUAUUUAAUUGCACUAGUAUCGACUGAUAUCACCUGGUCUCGUUCUUGGUUCAUGUUUAAAGUUACAGCUAAAAAAAUACACGACCAACAUCAUCAUCUAAGGACAUGUAAAACACUUAUUUGGUCAUGUUUAAUAUAGUUUGUCUAGCUGUCUGUAAACUAUUUAAGGGCCCAUAUUGUAAAACAGUAAGGACGUCUCUCUCAUCUCUCGCCUAUCCUAUUCCUCUCUCUCUCCCCCGGAUCUGCAGGGUGAGGCGGCUCGACGCGGGCGACGCGGCAGCCAUCCCGUCAUGGACAUGGACUUGCCGACAACCACAUGGCUGGCCUUUGCUCUCUUCUUCAUCGUCGCACUAGCGACCAAGAUCACAAGACGACGACAGCAAUCUUCGGGUACUCCGACAAGGAAACGCCGCCCCCCUCCACCCGUGUCUCCGGGGGUCCCUCUCCUAGGCGACCUGCCAGCACUGCUCGCCAAGGGCACGUUGGAACUGAUCCGCGACCGCUACACGAGGCUGGGAAGCGUCUUCACCGUGCGCUUGCUCCACCUGAAGGUGACCUUCCUGGUCGGGCCGGACGUGUCGAGCCAUUUCUACCAGGGGUUCGACUCGGAGAUCAGCCAGGACGAGGUCUCCCAGUUCACCAUCCCCACCUUCGGCCCCGGCGUCGCCUUCGACGUCGACUACGCCACCCGGCGCGAGCAGUUCAGGUUCUUCGGCGACGCCAUGAAGCCGGCGAAGCUCAGGACCUAUGCCGAGCUCAUGGUCCGUGAAGUCGAGGUACGUAAUAAUCAUGCAUCGACCUAGCUAGCACUACAUUCACGUGUUGCUUUCGUAGAACACAUAGGUUUUUUACGUGUCAUCACGUGACUAAACAUGGUCUGCAGAGCCACUUCGCGAGAUGGGGACAGUCCGGCACGGUUGAUCUGAAGCAGGAGCUGGAGCACGUUGUGACGCUCAUCACCAGCCGGUGCCUGCUGGGCGCCGCGGUCCGGGAGAAGAUGUUCGGCGAGGUCGGGACGCUGCUCCGCGAGCUCAACGACGGGAUGCGCCUCGUCACCAUCUUCUUCCCGCACCUACCCAUCCCCGCGCACCGCCGCCGCGACGCGGCGCGCGCCAGGCUCGGCGAGAUAUUCACCGACAUCGUCAGGUCCCGCAAGCGCCUGAACGAGGACGACGGCGGCCGCCCCGACCGCCCCGACGACAUGCUGCAGUGCCUGAUCGACGCCCGGUACAAGGACGGCCGCGGCACGACGGAGGCGGAGGUCGUCGGGAUGCUCGUCUCGGCUCUCUUCGCGGGGCAGCACAACAGCUCCAGCGCCGCCACCUGGACCGGGGCGCGCCUCCUCACCCACACCAAGCACCUGCGCGCCGCCGUCGAGGAGCAGGCGCGCGUCGCGGCGCUGCACGGGGCCGGCCGCGCCGACCACUACGCCGCCCUGCAGGAGAUGGACACCCUCCACCGCUGCGUCAAGGAGGCCCUGCGGCUCCACCCGCCGGCGCUGAUGCUGCUCCGCCACGCGCGCCGGGGGUUCGCGGUGCGCGACAGGGACGGGCGCGAGUACGAGGUGCCCGAGGGACACGCGGUGGCGAGCCCGCUGGUGAUCCACAACAGGCUGCCGGAGGUGUACGAGGAGCCCGACAAGUACGACCCCGACCGGUUCGGGCCACGGAGGGCGGAGGACAGGGCCGGCGGCGCGCUGGCGUACGCGUCGUUCGGCGCCGGGCGGCACAUCUGCGUCGGCGAGGCGUUCGCGU
rnacentral:lncRNA from 1 species